CCUACGGGAGGCAGCAGUGGGGAAUCUUGCGCAAUGGGCGAAAGCCUGACGCAGCCAUGCCGCGUGAAUGAUGAGGGUCUUAGGAUUGUAAAAUUCUUUCACCGGGGACGAUAAUGACGGUACCCGGAGAAGAAGCCCCGGCUAACUUCGUGCCAGCAGCCGCGGUAAUACGAAGGGGGCUAGCGUUGCUCGGAAUUACUGGGCGUAAAGGGAGCGUAGGCGGAUAGUUUAGUCAGAGGUGAAAGCCCAGGGCUCAACCUUGGAAUUGCCUUUGAUACUGGCUAUCUUGAGUGUGGGAGAGGUAUGUGGAACUCCGAGUGUAGAGGUGAAAUUCGUAGAUAUUCGGAAGAACACCAGUGGCGAAGGCGACAUACUGGCCCAUUACUGACGCUGAGGCUCGAAAGCGUGGGGAGCAAACAGGAUUAGAUACCCUGGUAGUCCACGCUGUAAACGAUGAGUGCUAGUUGUCGGCAUGCAUGCAUGUCGGUGACGCAGCUAACGCAUUAAGCACUCCGCCUGGGGAGUACGGUCGCAAGAUUAAAACUCAAAGGAAUUGACGG
rnacentral:rRNA from 1 species